ACAGGUGACUGAUGCCGAGUGAGAAGGUAUACCUGACACAUACCCCCGUCAGCUGCUAUAAAGGAACCACGAGACAGGUGACUGAUGCCAAGUGAGAAGGUAUACCUGACACGUACCCCCAUCAGCUGCAAUAAAGGAACCACGAGACAGGUGACUGAUGCCGAGUGAGAAGGUAUACCUGACACGUACCCCCGUCAGCUGCAAUAAAGGAACCACGAGACAGG